rnacentral:rRNA from 1 species
CUCCAGUUGACCGCAUGGUCCUCUGGGAAAGCUUUUGCGGUAUGGGAUGGGGUCGCGUCCUAUCAGCUUGAUGGCGGGGUAACGGCCCACCAUGGCUUCGACGGGUAGCCGGCCUGAGAGGGCGACCGGCCACAUUGGGACUGAGAUACGGCCCAGACUCCUACGGGAGGCAGCAGUGGGGAAUAUUGCACAAUGGGCGCAAGCCUGAUGCAGCGACGCCGCGUGCGGGAUGACGGCCUUUGGGUUGUAAACCGCUUUUGACUGGGAGCAAGCCCUUCGGGGUGAGUGUACCUUUCGAAUAAGCACCGGCUAACUACGUGCCAGCAGCCGCGGUAAUACGUAGGGUGCAGGCGUUAUCCGGAAUUAUUGGGCGUAAAGGGCUCGUAGGCGGUUCGUCGCGUCCGGUGUGAAAGUCCAUCGCUUAACGGGGAUCCGCGCCGGGUACGGGCGGG